rnacentral:rRNA from 1 species
GGGCCCGCACAAGCGGUGGAGCAUGUGGCUUAAUUCGAGGCAACGCGAAGAACCUUACCUGGUCUUGACAUGCCCGUCAUAGUUUUCCGAAAGGAAUACGUCAGUUCGGCUGGACGGUGCACAGGUGCUGCAUGGCUGUCGUCAGCUCGUGUCGUGAGAUGUUCGGUUAAGUCCGGCAACGAGCGCAACCCUCGUUCCUAGUUGCCAGCGGGUAAUGCCGGGGACUCUAGGAAGACAAACCUCGUGUAGAGGUGGGAAGGUGGGGACGACGUCAAGUCAGUAUGGCCCUUACGACCAGGGCUGCACACGUGCUACAAUGCCCAGCACAAUGGGAUGCAACGCCGCGAGGUUGAGCAAAUCCACAAAACUGGGCCCAGUUCGGAUUGGAGUCUGCAACUCGACUCCAUGAAGUUGGAAUCGCUAGUAAUGG